CCUACGGGGGGCAGCAGUGGGGAAUAUUGCACAAUGGGGGAAACCCUGAUGCAGCAACGCCGCGUGAAGGAAGACGGUUUUCGGAUUGUAAACUUCUUUUCUUAGUGAAGAAGCAAGUGACGGUAGCUAAGGAAUAAGCAUCGGCUAACUACGUGCCAGCAGCCGCGGUAAUACGUAGGGGGCAAGCGUUAUCCGGAAUUACUGGGUGUAAAGGGUGAGUAGGCGGCAUGGUAAGCCAGAUGUGAAAGCCUUGGGCUUAACCCAAGGAUUGCAUUUGGAACUAUCAAGCUAGAGUACAGGAGAGG
rnacentral:rRNA from 1 species